GAUGAACGCUAGCGACAGGCUUAACACAUGCAAGUCGGACGAGUGGCGGACGGGUGAGUAACGCAUCGGAACGUACCGAGUAAUGGGGGAUAACUGUCCGAAAGGACAGCUAAUACCGCAUACUAUCCGAUCGGCCGAGGUCUGAUUAGCUGGUUGGCGGGGUAAAGGCUCACCAAGGCGACGAUCAGUAGCGGGUCUGAGAGGAUGACCCGCCACACUGGGACUGAGACACGGCCCAGACUCCUACGGGAGGCAGCAGUGGGGAAUUUUGGACAAUGGGCGCAAGCCUGAUCCAGCCAUGCCGCGUGUCUGAAGAAGGCCUUCGGGUUGUAAAGGACUUUUGUCAGGGAGGCGGUACCUGAAGAAUAAGCACCGGCUAACUACGUGCCAGCCGCCGCGGUAAUAC
rnacentral:rRNA from 1 species